rnacentral:rRNA from 1 species
CCUACGGGAGGCAGCAGUGAGGAAUAUUGGUCAAUGGGCGGGAGCCUGAACCAGCCAAGUCGCGUGAGGGAAGACGGUCCUAUGGAUUGUAAACCUCUUUAGGCGGGGAGCAAUGCCGGGCACGCGUGCCCGGAGGGAGAGUACCCGCAGAAUAAGCAUCGGCUAACUCCGUGCCAGCAGCCGCGGUAAUACGGAGGAUGCGAGCGUUAUCCGGAUUUAGUGGGUUUAAAGGGUGCGUAGGCGGAUUUUUAAGUCAGCGGUAAAAUGUCCGGGCUCAACCCGGGCCGGCCGUUGAAACUGGGGAUCUUGAGUGGGCGAGAAGUAUGCGGAAUGCGUGGUGUAGCGGUGAAAUGCAUAGAUAGCACGCAGAACUCCGAUUGCGAAGGCAGCAUACCGGCGCCCGACUGACGCUGAGGCACGAAAGCGUGGGGAUCGAACAGGAUUAGAUACCCCAGUAGUC